rnacentral:rRNA from 1 species
CGCGGCCUAUCAGCUUGUUGGUGAGGUAACGGCUCACCAAGGCAUCGACGGGUAGCUGGUCUGAGAGGACGAUCAGCCACACUGGGACUGAGACACGGCCCAGACUCCUACGGGUGGCAGCAGUAGGGAAUCUUGCGCAAUGGGCGAAAGCCUGACGCAGCAACGCCGCGUGGGGGAUGAAUGCCUUCGGGUUGUAAACCCCUUUCAGCAGGGACGAAAUUGACGGUACCUGCAGAAGAAGGUCCGGCCAACUACGUGCCAGCAGCCGCGGUAAUACGUAGGGACCAAGCGUUGUCCGGAAUUAUUGGGCGUAAGGAGCUCGUAGGCGGUUCAGUAAGUCGGGUGUGAAAACUCAAGGCUCAACCUUGAGACGCCACUCGAUACUGCUGUGACUUGAGUCCGGUAGAGGAGUGUGGAAUUCCUGGUGUAGCGGUGAAAUGCGCAGAUAUCAGGAGGAACACCAGCGGCGAAGGCGGCACUCUGGGCCGGUACUGACGCUGAAGAGCGAAAGCAUGGGGAGCAAACAGGAUUAGAUACCCUGGUAGUCCAUGCCGUAAACGUUGGGCACUAGAUAUGGGAUCAUAUCAACGGAUUCCGUGCCGUAGCUAACGCAUUAAGUGCCCCGCCUGGGGAGUACGG